UUAGAUACCCUGGUAGUCCACGCUGUAAACGAUGUCGAUUUGGAGGUUGUGCCCUUGAGGCGUGGCUUCCGGAGCUAACGCGUUAAAUCGACCGCCUGGGGAGUACGGCCGCAAGGUUAAAACUCAAAUGAAUUGACGGGGGCCCGCACAAGCGGUGGAGCAUGUGGUUUAAUUCGAUGCAACGCGAAGAACCUUACCUACUCUUGACAUCCAGAGAACUUUCCAGAGAUGGAUUGGUGCCUUCGGGAACUCUGAGACAGGUGCUGCAUGGCUGUCGUCAGCUCGUGUUGUGAAAUGCUGGGUUAAGUCCCGCAACGAGCGCAACCCUUAUCCUUUGUUGCCAGCGGUUCGGCCGGGAACUCAAAGGAGACUGCCAGUGAUAAACUGGAGGAAGGUGGGGAUGACGUCAAGUCAUCAUGGCCCUUACGAGUAGGGCUACACACGUGCUACAAUGGCAUAUACAAAGAGAAGCGACCUCGCGAGAGCAAGCGGACCUCAUAAAGUAUGUCGUAGUCCGGAUUGGAGUCUGCAACUCGACUCCAUGAAGUCGGAAUCGCUAGUAAUCGUAGAUCAGAAUGCUACGGUGAAUACGUUCCCGGGCCUUGUACACACCGCCCGUCACACCAUGGGAGUGGGUUGCAAAAGAAGUAGGUAGCUUAACCUUCGGGAGGGCGCUUACCACUUUGUGAUUCAUGACUGGGG
rnacentral:rRNA from 1 species